CAGAACGAACGCUGGCGGCAGGCUUAACACAUGCAAGUCGAGCGCCCCGCAAGGGGAGCGGCAGACGGGUGAGUAACGCGUGGGAAUCUACCUAGUUCUACGGAACAACUCAGGGAAACUUGAGCUAAUACCGUAUACGCCCUUCGGGGGAAAGAUUUAUCGGAAUUAGAUGAGCCCGCGUCUGAUUAGCUAGUUGGUGGGGUAAGAGCCCACCAAGGCGACGAUCAGUAGCUGGUCUGAGAGGAUGAUCAGCCACAUUGGGACUGAGACACGGCCCAAACUCCUACGGGAGGCAGCAGUGGGGAAUAUUGGACAAUGGGCGAAAGCCUGAUCCAGCCAUGCCGCGUGAGUGAUGAAGGCCCUAGGGUUGUAAAGCUCUUUUGACGGGGAAGAUAAUGACGGUACCCGUAGAAUAAGCCCCGGCUAACUUCGUG
rnacentral:rRNA from 1 species